UACGUAGGGACCGAGCGUUGUCCGGAAUCAUUGGGCGUAAAGAGCGUGUAGGCGGCUAUUUAAGUCCUGCGUGAAAUCCUGCGGCUCAACCGCAGACGGUCGUGGGAAACUGGAUGGCUAGAGUGCGGGAGAGGAGAGUGGAAUCCCUGGUGUAGCGGUGAAAUGCGUAGAUAUCGGGAGGAACACCAGUGGCGAAGGCGACUACCUGGCCCAUUCUUGACGCUGAGGCGCGAAAGCUAGGGGAGCGAACGGG
rnacentral:rRNA from 1 species